rnacentral:tRNA from 1 species
GCAGCGGUGGUUCAGUGGUAGAACUCUUGCCUUCCAUGUGGGAGACCCAGGUUCGGUUCUGGCUAAUGCC